rnacentral:rRNA from 1 species
AUGUUACUUCUCAAUAGUGCCAUUCAAGCACUUGAUCUUGUGGAAAUCCCACUAAAAAGCAUAAGUUACACAUGGAGCAAUAUGCAAGACAAUUCAUUGUUGGAAAAACUUGACUGGAUAUUUACUUCUGCAAAUUGGACUAUUUCGCUCCCAAAUACUAUUGCUCUCUCAAUGGCUAGAAUUACAUCAGGCCACAACCCUAUGCAUUGA